AUACGGAGGGGGGCUAGCGUUGUUCGGAAUUACUGGGCGUAAAGCGCGCGUAGGCGGAUCGUUAAGUCAGGGGUGAAAGCCCGGAGCUCAACUCCGGAACUGCCCUUGAUACUGGCGAUCUAGAGUCCGGGAGAGGUGAGCGGAAUUCCUAGUGUAGAGGUGAAAUUCGUAGAUAUUAGGAGGAACACCAGUGGCGAAGGCGGCUCACUGGCCCGGUACUGACGCUGAGGUGCGAAAGCGUGGGGAGCAAACAGGAUUAGAAACCCUAGUAGUCC
rnacentral:rRNA from 1 species